rnacentral:lncRNA from 1 species
CCAAGUCUAAUUCCAAGCUAAAGUUGGUGCGUAGCCUGGCAGUGUGUGAGGAGUCCUCCACCCCAUUUGCUGAUGGGCCAUUAGAAACCCAGGAUAUAAUUCAAUUGCACAUCAGUUGCCCUUCUGACAAGGAGGAAGAAAAGUCCACAAAAGAUGUCUCUGAAAAGGAAGACAAGGACAAAAACAAAGAAAAGAUCCCAAGGAAGAUGCUGUCCAGAGACUCCAGCCAGGAAUAUACGGACUCCACUGGAAUAGACCUACAUGAAUUUCUUGUAAAUACACUGAAAAAGAACCCAAGAAGAAUUGGGAAAACUUCUGUGAAAGAAGAAUGCAGAAACAAAGAAAUAUGAAGUCUUGGGAGUAUACUGAUUAAAAAGCACACAUUGGGAGUGAUAGUAAGAAGAGCUAAAAUAAAAAGCACAGAAGGAAA